GACGAACGCUGGCGGCGUGCCUAAUACAUGCAAGUAGAACGCUGAAGGAGGAGCUUGCUUCUCUGGAUGAGUUGCGAACGGGUGAGUAACGCGUAGGUAACCUGCCUGUUAGCGGGGGAUAACUAUUGGAAACGCUAGCUAAUACCGCAUAAUAGUAGAUGUUGCAUGACAUUUGAUUAAAAGGUACAAUUGCAUCACUACUAGAUGGACCUGCGUCGUAUUAUGAUGUUGGUGGGGUAACAGCUCACCAAGGCGACGAUACAUAGCCGACCUGAGAGGGGGGUCGGGCCCACUGGGAAUUGGACAAGGCCCAAGAUCCUACGGGAGGCAGCCGGAGGGGAUUUUUGGCAAUGGACGGAAGUCUGACCGAGGCACGCCGGGUGGGUGAAGAAGGUUUUCGGGUCGGAAAGCCCUGUUGUAAAGGAAGAACGAGUGUGAGAGUUGAAUAUUCACGCUGUGACGGUAUCUAACCAGAAAGGGACGGCUAACUACGUG
rnacentral:rRNA from 1 species